ACUGUGACCUCAGCUCUGAUAUCUAACAACUCCAAUCUGAGAGAGCUGCAGCUGAGUUCAAUCAAGCUGCAGGAUCCAGCAGAGGCACUGUUUGCUAGUCUGGGACAUCCAAACUGUAGACUGGAGACACUCAGCUUUGAGAACAGCACUUUGUCAGAGAACAACUGUGCUGCUCUGCUCAGUGCUCUGAAGUCCAACCCUCCAUAUCUGAAACGUCUGGAUCUAAUAGGAUGCAACCUGGAGGGCUCAGGGAUGAAACAGCUGUAUGAUUACCUGGAGAGUCCACACUGUAAACUACAGUUUAAAAGAGUGACUUCAGUUUAGAUGCUGCACUGUGGUGAGUAUUAUUCAGAUAUCUUAGUGGGAUUAAUUUCUGUAUUUCAAUGUCAAUUCCAAGAUUAUUAAAGAGAAGAAGAUAAAUCAUCGUAGUUAUACAUAAUAUCCCAAGAUCUAAACUAUAAUUAACCUAUUACAUUGAUAUGCAUGUCUGUGGAUGUUUCUAUAUUAAAAUCUUUUGAAGACCGACUUGCUUUGACUGAUCUAUGCAGAAUCUCAGUAUUUGAUCAAGACAUGCAGUGAUUCCUCCAGAGUGACCCUGAAAGAAAUCAGUGGUCAAAGUGUGGCUCUACUCAGACAGUGUGGCCUUAACUCCAAUGUCAAGCUUCAGUUCAUGGAUAAGGUCUUUGGAAACUGCUGAACUUCUCUUCAGUGGAUGGAGUACAGGACUGAGGUAAAACACCUCAGAGUGUGCUGAGGGAAUUUCCACUUUAGCACUACUGUAUGCCUUUACUUUACUUGAUGGAUGACUCGUAUAACUCUAGUUAGUGUGUCGUUAAUAGACUGUUGACUUUCCUACACUCUAAAACAUUCAGCUCACCCAGCUAAAGGACAUUUUGUCUUCAGUUUUGAUUUGUUUCCGAGGAGAAUCUUGUGAUACAGGUUUCAUUGCAGUCGUUUCACACCCAAGGACCAACUGAGUUUCAUACCCAGUUGAAGGAUACUUUUCAGGUGCAAUAGCUGCCAUCUAGCUAGUCUUCGAACUAAAAAGUGUCAUGGUCCUGGGUCGGUGACCCAGCGCUUUGAGUUUAUUAUUAUCAUUUUCUAGUUUAUUCUGAUUUUGUAUCAGUUCUUUGAGUUUGGUCGUCGUGUCAUCAUGCCUACCUGUGUUUUCCCUCCGUACUCCGUUCGGGUCCUCGCGUUGGUGUGGUAAAAUAGUCUGUGUGUUUCCUGUUAUGCUUUGUAGGUCUGUGUCUCAUUAUGUCCAUGAGUCCCAGCUGUGUGCCCACCUGUUCCUCGUUUCCUCAUGUGCUUGCCAGUGUAUUUUAGUCCCUGUCAGUUAGUGCUUGUUGUCGCGUCGUCAACGUCGGUUCCCCUUGCAUGCUGUGUGUUUCCUUAUAAGUUCUUUUCCUUAGAUUUUCCAGUUUAGUUUGAUGCUGUUCUGUAUUCCUGCCAAGCCUGCAUUAAAGCAGAGUUUUUGAGUUCACGUUUUCUCCUCGGAGUCCUGCAUUUUGGGUCCAAUUCCUGCCUGCCACACCGCACACCAUGACAAAAAGCAGAUUUUCCAUAUGCAGGUCCUUGUUUAUGAUUUUACAAUGAGACAUUUUAAUAAUUUCACUGCUGUAAUUUCACUGUUGAACAUCGUCUUGCUUGGGGUGAUGCAUUACUGAUACAGCAGUGUUUUUUUUCAGUGUUAUGUGUGUUAUGUGUAAUGUUACACUUCAGAGAAGGGUUUGUCACCACAUACUGGAUUAAAUGGGAUUCCAGUUUUGUAAUUUUGCAGAACAUGGAAAAUACAUAUAUUUCCAGUCCAUCUGGAAGGUAUUCAGAACACUUAACUGGUUUGCCAUUAUGUCUGUCUAACUGUCUUACAGUCUUAUUCAAAGAUGAAUUAAAUUCAUUUUCAUCUCUACACACAAUGCACUAUAGUGACAAAGUGAAAAAAAAAUGUUUGUAAUUGUUUCAAAUGUAAAUUUUUUUUAAAUAUGUAUAUAUAAUAAAAUG